GUUGGCAAUGGGACCACCUGCAAAUUCUGGAGCGACCACUAGAUCGACGGUAGAUCAGUGGUAGAGAUCGCCCCCCUCGUGCACUCGCUCGUUCCUCGCCGCCGACAAAAAUCAUGCACUCUGAGGGAUGCUCUCCACCUCAGAUCUUGGGUGCAAGGCAUCAUGGGUGCACUGGGACCCACUGCCUUGAUCCAGUACGUCGAGCUAUGGAGGCGUGUACGACACAUUGUGCUUUCGCCCACCCACGACACCCUCAGUUGGAGAUGGACGACCUCCGGACAAUACUCUGCCAGCUCAUGCUACCGGGCCCUACUCAUUGGGUCCUGCGAAGAUCCCCACUGGAAGCUCACAUGGAAGCCAUGGGCACCAUUGCGUGUCAAGUUUUUGUUGGGGAACGCAGUAUUUUAA
rnacentral:rRNA from 1 species